UUCUAAAUAUAUAAAUUUUGAAUAUCAAUACUAAACUUAAUAUUAUAAAAAAUUGAAUUAAACAUAAUUUCAAUCAAACCUCGUUAACCGAAUCAAAGAUGAAAAAUGGGACAGAGGGAGC